GAUGAAGAACGUAGCGAAAUGCGAUAAGUAAUGUGAAUUGCAGAAUUCAGUGAAUCAUCGAGUAUUUGAACGCGCAUUGCGACCCCUGGUAUUCCGGGGGGCAUGCCUGUCCGAGCGUCAUUGCCGCCCUCAAGCACGGCUUGUGUGUUGGGCCCCCGCCCCCCGGCUUCGGGGGGCGGGCCCGAAAGGCAGCGGCGGCACCGCGUCCGGUCCUCGAGCGUAUGGGGCUUCGUCACCCGCUCUGUAGGCCCGGCCGGCGCCCGCCGGCGACCCCAAUCAAUCUUUCCAGGUUGACCUCGGAUCAGGUAGGGAUACCCGCUGAACUUAAGCAUAUCAAUAAGCGGAGGA
rnacentral:misc_RNA from 1 species